rnacentral:rRNA from 1 species
UUGAACGCUGGCGGCAUGCCUUUCACAUGCAAGUCGAACGGCAGCACGGGAGCAAUCCUGGUGGCGAGUGGCGAACGGGUGAGUAAUAUAUCGGAACGUGCCCAGUCGUGGGGGAUAACGCAGCGAAAGCUGUGCUAAUACCGCAUACGAUCUAUGGAUGAAAGCGGGGGAUCGCAAGACCUCGCGCGAUUGGAGCGGCCGAUAUCAGAUUAGCUAGUUGGUUGGGUAAAGGCCCACCAAGGCGACGAUCUGUAGCUGGUCUGAGAGGACGACCAGCCACACUGGAACUGAGACACGGUCCAGACGCCUACGGGAGGCAGCAGUGGGGAAUUUUGGACAAUGGGCGCAAGCCUGAUCCAGCAAUGCCGCGUGCAGGAUGAAGGCCUUCGGGUUGUAAACUG